GGUCCUAUGGUGUAGCGGUUAGCACUUUGGAUUUUGACUGGGGUUUCAGUUAAGUCUGGGCCUAUAAAACAGAAUGUUCCAACGACCUGAGUUCGAAUCUCGGUAGGACCU
rfam:Xylona heveae TC161 unplaced genomic scaffold L228scaffold_1, whole genome shotgun sequence.